rnacentral:lncRNA from 1 species
UAAAUAAAUAAAAUAAUAACUAAACAAAAUAAAAUAAUAUACACUAUAUUAACAUAUAUGUCUAUAACCAGUCCUUUGUUUCGUCUAUCGACUCCAUAUGACUUAUUAUCCAAUUAUCUCCGCACUUCUUUUUGCAUCAAGUAUCUCCAUGCGUCUGGAAUUUCCCUUGACGUCUUCUCAUUCAAUACGUCAUUCUUGGCUUGUGCCUUCAUUAUUUCUAAUCCCUCUGUUAGGUACACUUGUGACUCCUUAAUUAUGGAUUUUAUAAUCUUUGCCACUUCCCAGUCUAUUUCGACCUGUUGAGCAUGGGCCGCGUCUGCGAGGGCAGUGGUGGUGACCCCCAUUGUUACGUCAGGCCUAUGUUCCUUUAUCCUCUGGCGGAGUGUUCUCUUAGUGACCCCUACGUAUGCUGUGUCCUAGUCCAUUUCUUUCAGCCCUGAGGAUAGCAAUGUAAUUUUGCCGAAAGCGAUGGGCAUUAAGGAGUUUUUGUUGGCUUACCAAGAAUGACUGCUAUGUUGAAUUGUUUUUGCUUAUUCAUAUGUUGUUUGCUAAGAUAUCUAGUGCUGUAACCAAUGUAUUUGAGAUUCUC